UACGAAGGGUGCAAGCGUUAAUCGGAAUUACUGGGCGUAAAGCGUGCGUAGGCGGUGAUUUAAGUCUGCUGUGAAAUCCCCGGGCUCAACCUGGGAAUGGCAGUGGAUACUGGAUCGCUAGGGUGUGAUAGAGGAUGGUGGAAUUCCCGGUGUAGCGGUGAAAUGCGUAGAGAUCGGGAGGAACAUCAGUGGCGAAGGCGGCCAUCUGGAUCAACACUGACGCUGAGGCACGAAAGCGUGGGGAGCAAACAGG
rnacentral:rRNA from 1 species